AACGCUAGCUACAGGCUUAACACAUGCAAGUCGAGGGGCAGCAUGAAGUUUGCUUGCAAACUUUGAUGGCGACCGGCGGAUGGGUGAGUAACGCGUAUCCAACCUGCCCCCUUCCCGGGCACAGCCCUUGGAAACGAGGAUUAACUCCCGAUGGUGUCAGUCAGGCGCAUGCCUUUCUGACCAAAUGUUUAAGGAAGGGGAUGGGGAUGCGUCCCAUUAGCUUGUUGGCGGGGUAACGGCCCACCAAGGCUCCGAUGGGUAGGGGUUCUGAGAGGAAGGUCCCCCACACUGGAACUGAGACACGGUCCAGACUCCUACGGGAGGCAGCAGUGAGGAAUAUUGGUCAAUGGAGGCAACUCUGAACCAGCCAAGUAGCGUGAGGGAUGACUGCCCUACGGGUUGUAAACCUCUUUUGUCGGGGAAUAAACCGCGCCACGUGUGGCGCCCUGCAUGUACCCGCAGAAUAAGGACCGGCUAAUUCCGUGCCAGCAGCCGCGGUAAUACGGAAGGUCCGAGCGUUAUCCGGAUUUAUUGGGUUUAAAGGGAGCGUAGGCGGGCUGUUAAGCCAGCCGUCAAAUUGCGGGGCUCAACCCCGUAUCGCGGUUGGAACUGGCGGCCUUGAGUGGGCAAGAGGCGCGUGGAAUUCGUGGUGUAGCGGUGAAAUGCAUAGAUAUCACGAAGAACUCCGAUUG
rnacentral:rRNA from 1 species